GAUCAUUAUCCCAUUUAAAACAGCAGGGGAGAAACCUCAUGUGCCUUGUGUCUGUGGUUCCAACAGAGCCGCUUGCUUUCAGCUCAUCACUGAACUGAGCUCCAAGCACUCAUUUAUUUCUGCUGACAGGAGAACGGGAGUGUUAAUGGCUACAGACAGCAUCGAUUAAAAAUGCAAAGCCCACCUGGAGUGCAGGGACACACAAGAGUCCAAGGAGCCUAGGAAGAACAAGCUAAUGAGCAGGGCAAGACUGUUUCCAUUCUAAUGGGGGGGAAAGUCCAAUUCACAAAUCCAUAAAGCAAACAAAACAUUUCACAGGGUUUCAUUUGUUGUUGCUAUUUCCUCCACCUUUAAAUAUUGCCUCUUUCUUACUUCA